CCAACGGCUCUUUUAAGAGCCACCACAUUUUCCUAAGAGCAAAACC
rfam:Orchesella cincta Ocin01_Sc5609, whole genome shotgun sequence.